rnacentral:siRNA from 1 species
ACUCCAUUUUGUUCAAGUCUGCAU